UACGAAGGGGCUAGCGUUGCUCGGAAUCACUGGGCGUAAAGGGCUCGUAGGCGGUCUGUCGCGUCGGGAGUGAAAACUCAGGGCUUAACCCUGAGCCUGCUUCCGAUACGGGCAGACUAGAGGUAUGCAGGGGAGAACGGAAUUCCGUGGUGUAGCGGUGAAAUGCGCAGAUAUCAGGAGGAACACCGGUGGCGAAGGCGGUUCUCUGGGCAUGUCCUGACGCUGAGGAGCGAAAGUGUGGGGAGCGAACAGG
rnacentral:rRNA from 1 species